GGCCUGGGCCAUGGAGUUGUUGGAUUUUAGGGUCUGGAUUUUGAGGGACACGGCUUGGACGUUGGCCCUCAUGGUGAUGAACUUCUUCACGUAGCGUCGCGUCCUCACCAGGUCCUUCGCCAUGAUCUUCACUGCGUCCAUCUGCCCCUGCUUGGCCAUCUUCUUGAUGUCGAUGAUGAUUUUCUUCUCCUGGGCCUCCAGUUUCUGGCGCUCGCGGUCGAGCUCACGCAUGGCGCGGGUCAGGGCCCUCUGGUUCUGCCUCAGCAGCUCCUCCGGGGUCUUCCGACGGCCAAACAGCAGAUCCAUGGC
rnacentral:lncRNA from 1 species